rnacentral:rRNA from 1 species
UAAUACGUAGGAGGCGAGCGUUGUCCGGAUUUACUGGGCGUAAAGCGCGUGUAGGUGGUGGGGUAAGUCCGCUGUGAAAGCUCUUCGCUUAACGGAGAGAGGUCGGUGGAAACUACCCGACUUGAGGACGGUAGAGGGGGGUGGAAUUCCCGGUGUAGUGGUGAAAUGCGUAGAUAUCGGGAGGAACACCAGUGGCGAAGGCGGCCCCCUGGGCCGCUCCUGACGCUGAGACGCGAAGGCCAGGGUAGCGAACGGGAUUAGAUACCCCGGUAGUCCUGGCAGUAAACGAUGAGCACUAGGUGUGGGGGGUAUCGAGCCCCUCCGUGCCGACGUCAACACAUUAAGUGCUCCGCCUGGGGAGUACGGCCGCAAGGUUA